AAAAACACUGCAAACCUGGCGACAGGGAAAGCGAGGAAAAGCUGGAAUUCGAGGAACCAGGGGCAUCAGAGGACUAAAAGGUGAAAAGGGGGAGACGGGAGUAGCAGGCCACCUUGGCUGGGCAGGCACCAUUGGUAAACCUGGUCUUCGUGGAGAGAUGGGGGAUCGAGGUGAACCGGGAACAAAGGUAAACUGUUUGUACGCACGCAUGAGCUGAAUUUGAGAAAAAGGCAGGUGCGUUUUCGCAGCAUGCGCUUAUAAUAUGGUAGAAAAUGACUGCAAUAGCAAUGCUGUUUUCUGGUAGGCUACAUGAGAAUGCGAGGCUCCUGGGUUGGGGU